AACUCUGGUGCCAGGCUACUUAGUCCUGCAUGAAGACGAUCCAUGUGCAGACCAGGACCAGUGCAUCCUCCCCUCAAAGUCUGGGGGCCAACAAAUCACUUAAACUGUCAACCCAAUCACAAACGUACAUGUGGGAGCAGAAGUUAUCCUGAAAGGCAAAUGGCUAUAUUAUUAAAUCUGAUGAAUGAUUUUUAAUCAGCACUUUGGGAAGUUCAGAAGAAAAACUGUUCUCGUCUAUGACUCCCAGUAUUUCAUUAAGCAGGUAUCAGCAGAUAUUCCCUUAAGCAAUAUCAACCUGGGGGAGUCAUCAGGAAGCAAUACAAUAAUAAACCCACCAAUCUUUAAGAAUG